UACGUAGGGUGCAAGCGUUAAUCGGAAUUACUGGGCGUAAAGCGUGCGCAGGCGGUUUUAUAAGUUUGUCGUGAAAGCCCCGGGCUCAACCUGGGAAUGGCGAUGAAGACUGUAAGGCUAGAGUGUGUCAGAGGGGGGUAGAAUUCCACGUGUAGCAGUGAAAUGCGUAGAUAUGUGGAGGAACACCGAUGGCGAAGGCAGCCCCCUGGGAUAACACUGACGCUCAUGCACGAAAGCGUGGGGAGCAAACAGG
rnacentral:rRNA from 1 species